AUGACAAGUAUUCUUAGAAGAGACAGAAGAGGUCUGGACACAGAGGAGAAGGCGUGUGAAGACGGAGUCAGAGAUUACAGUGAUGCCGCCAUGAGCCGAGGAAGCCUGGAGCCCCCACUGAAGCUAGCAGAGGCGAAGAAGGAUUCUCCCUGGUGCUGUCAGAGUGAGUGCAGCCCUGCCGCCAGCUGGAUUGUGAGCUUCUGGCCUCUAGAACUCCCUGGUCUCCCUCACAGUCAUUUCCAAGGAGGUCUCCUGCAGCUUUCGUUUCUUGCUCGUCUGUUCUUUGUUGCUCCCAGCCAGCAAUGUUCUUUUCUUGUCUCUUUUCUUCUGGUCUCUCCGGGUAGAUUCCGGCAGUGCUUUUUGGCACGGCUGGGUGGGGAGCUCUCCGAGACAGUCUACAUCAUUUUUCAAAGCUCCGAACAUCAGACUUGGCAUUUCAAAUACAGCUCUGAACACUGUCAACUGGUGUCUUCACCCCCUACCCUUAAUGAGGGCUCAUGGGUACUCUUUAGCACACAAUAAAUGUACACAUCUGAAAUUAAACAUUAAACUGUGUCUGUUGUUUUAAAACUCAGCUUUUCCUUUUCCGGUUGGAGAAAUUCCUGGAAACGGCAUGACUUCUCUUGUGGGUUUCCAUCAGGGCCUCCUGGGUGUGAUCCUGGCUAUAACCUCCUUUUUUCUCAACUAUUUAUUUCUCUUCUGAGCUGGAACUGGGAGGGAAGAGCAUCCAGAGGACUAAGGUAGUUUAGUUUCUAGCCAUCUUUGGCUUGAAUCCUUUUGGCAUCCUCUGAUAAGCAGAAAUAGCAUCAUCUAUCUGCACUAAUGGCAUUAUCUUAGCUGGAAGAAGUGAUUUAUUCAAAUGCUUUAAUAAUUAUAGCUCACAUCUGUUGAGUGCUUUCACACUCCAGGCUCCUGUGCUAAGUGCUUGGCAUUCUAUCUCCAUUUUAGUCUUCACAACAACCUUCUGAAGUGGCUCCUUCAUCAUCUCCAUUUUACAGAUGAAGAGACUGAGACUUGGGAAGUUCAAGAGCAUGCUGGAGCCACACAGGUAGGGGAGCUGGGAUUCAAGCCAAACGUGUGGGAUUCUGAACACAACCUUCAGGGCACAUGGCCUUGGAUCGUAAGACCCCUUCAUUUUUUGCAUUUUUUUUUUUGAGACAGAGUCUCACUCUUGUCCCCCAGGAUAGAGUGCAAUGGCAUGAUCUCAACUCACUGCAACCUCCGCCUCCCGGGUUCAAGCUAUUCUCCUGCCUCAGCCUCCUGAGAUGCUGGGAUUACAGGCAAGUGCCACCACGCCCAGCUAAUUUUUGUAUUUUAAGUAGAGAUGGGGUUUCACCAUGUUUGCCAGGCUGGUCUCAAACUCCUGACCUCGUGAUCCGCCUACCUCAGCCUCUCCAAGUGCUGGUAUUACAGGAAAGUGCCACCACACCCAGCCUCUUUUGCUUGUUAAAAUAGAGUAUAUGAAGAAGUAACUCCAUGUUGAAAAGGCAACCACUGCUUCUGAGAGUGUCCUUAGGGAACCUCACUAUGAAGAGCCAGGUGUAUCCAAGUCAGUGCAAAAAAGGCAAGGGAUGCUGGCCAGCCACAGGGUGGACUUUUUCUGUUCAGGAAGACAAGAUUGUUUUUAAAAGGAGAUUUGUUGAAAGGGACAUUAGAAGGCCAGUGUGAACACUGUGGACUGUGGAGAUGGAUGGGGAGUAAGGCCCAAGCAUCUCACACCAUUUGGGGCAGUACCAAAGCUCUUAGGAGUGUCCUCUCCCAGCACAACUCAGCAUCUCCCCUGCUUCCUGCCUCAUCUGCCCUUCAGCUUGUACCAAGUGAUUCACUCAGAAGGCAGAACUGUGCUUUGCCGUCAUGAAAUCUCUAUUGGGGAAGAUCAAUGGAAAAAAGACUACUCAGAAGUCAAUGAUCAGCCCAAACCAUUCAAUCCCAUUUCAUGGGGGUAUGGGGAGAGCAGGGCAAAGUGUGUGUGUGUCUGUGUGGUCUCUCUGUGUGUGUGUGUGUGUAUGUGUGUGUAUGUGUGUGUGUGUGUGUGUGUGUGUGUGUUUGUAGAUCAGGUCUCUGGCUAUAUUACCCAGGCUAUUCUUAAACUCCUGUACUCAAGUGAUCCUCCUGCCUUGACCUCCCCAAAUGCUAAGAGUAUAGGCAUGCCAUCAUGCCUGGCCCAGAGCAAAGUGUUUUGACCGCUGAGCAUCCAAGGACUAAUGGGACUGAAAGCAGGGAACAAACGGGUCUCUGGUGCAUGGAGUGCCAGGGAACAAGAAAGUGGUGGCCUGACCCUUGCUUAGUCAGAUGGGCAGGUGUUGCCCCGGCCCUGGGAACUCUGGCCCGGCAGAGUCCUGCCUGAAGAAUGGCCUGGCUUCCUGUCUCUCCGGGCUGUCUGGCUUCUAUCACACAGGAACAGAAGACAUACAUACAUCAGGAACAUGGAUAACAUCUAAGUGACUCUAAGAAGUUUUGUGGCAACAUGGACCUGUUUCAAGAAUUAUUUUUAACUGUAGACACUAGGUCCUAGUGGGAAAUAAAACUUAAAAGGACAGUUAUAAUUAGGUCACAUUCGGAGAAACUUAUUACAUUUUGCUGUGUGUCCCAGGACUCAUGUAUCUUAAAUGAUUUUAAUAUUUAGAUUCAAUCAUGGUGCAGAAUUUCAUUUUUCUAUGUAAUAAUGGGAAGCAACCAAGAGAAAUGGUGGUAGCAAUAUUAGAUAAAAGUAAAGGCAGGAAUGCAUUUAUUAGGGAUAGAAGAAAGAAAACUAGCAUACAGUUUGUCUCCUCACCUCCCUGUUUCCUUUUCUCCUCGGCUGCAUCCUAAAGUAUUGCCUGUGAAGGAAGCCUGGGUCCUUCCACCUCUAUUCCCCAUUAAAUAGUCCUUUAUUUCUGCUCUGGAUUAAAGUUUGACCAAAAACAACCCUGUCAUUUCCCAGGUGCAAUUUAGUGGAGGAAAGGCUGGCAUCUCACUGAGAGCAAAAUCAACAUGAACAGUGGCUGCAAUAUUGUUGCUGUGAUCUCUGGGCAGGUUUCAGAGCUGACGGCCAACUGGGAGCUCAUUACAGAACCCUUGGGAGCGAGGCAGGCGGGAAAGGGGAAGAAAGGUUGGAGGUGGGGUAAGAAGAUGGUAGCCAGAACAGGGGUCACGCUAUUCUGUGGAAUGUGUCCCAUGAGAGCUUUAUUAGACUGGAGACUGGCCUGGCAGUAGUCAGGGCAGUUCGCUCUGUGUUACUCAGAUGCUUACACAACUGGUGAGGUCUGACCAAUCUCUUUGUUCCCAAACUAUCCCAGGUUUAAAAUAAGGAAUACUAAAAUGUAUCUGUAGAGCAGUGAAUUA
rnacentral:lncRNA from 1 species